GACGAACGCUGGCGGCGUGCUUAACACAUGCAAGUCGAGCGGUAAGGCCCUUUCGGGGGUACACGAGCGGCGAACGGGUGAGUAACACGUGGGUGACCUGCCCUCAGCUCUGGGAUAAGCCUGGGAAACCGGGUCUAAUACCGGAUAUGACUCCAUGGCGCAUGUUGUGGGGUGGAAAGCCUUGUGCGGCUGAGGAUGGGCCCGCGGCCUAUCAGCUUGUUGGUGGGGUGAUGGCCUACCAAGGCGACGACGGGUAGCCGGCCUGAGAGGGCGACCGGCCACACUGGGACUGAGACACGGCCCAGACUCCUACGGGAGGCAGCAGUGGGGAAUCUUGCGCAAUGGGCGAAAGCCUGACGCAGCGACGCCGCGUGAGGGAUGAC
rnacentral:rRNA from 1 species